GCUGGGUAUGGUGGUGUAUACCUGUGAUCCCAGUGACUUGGGAGGCUGAGGCAGGAGGACCACAAGUUCAAAGCCAGUCUCAGCAACUUUGUGAGGCCCUAAGCAACUUAGCAAGAUUCUGUCUCAA
rnacentral:sRNA from 1 species